GACGAACGCUGGCGGCGUGCUUAACACAUGCAAGUCGAGCGGUAAGGCCCUUUCGGGGGUACACGAGCGGCGAACGGGUGAGUAACGCGUGGGUGACCUGCCCUCAGCUCUGGGAUAAGCCUGGGAAACCGGGUCUAAUACUGGAUAUGACUCCAUGACGCAUGUUGUGGGGUGGAAAGCCUUGUGCGGCUGAGGAUGGGCCCGCGGCCCAUCAGCUUGUUGGUGGGGUGANGGCCUACCAAGGCGACGACGGGUAGCCGGCCUGAGAGGGCGACCGGCCACACUGGGACUGAGACACGGCCCAGACUCCUACGGGAGGCAGCAGUGGGGAAUCUUGCGCAAUGGGCGAAAGCCUGACGCAGCAACGCCGCGUGGGUGAUGAAGGCCU
rnacentral:rRNA from 1 species